rnacentral:guide_RNA from 1 species
UAAACCACAAUAACAAAAAUGGAUAUAGACUAGUGAG